UAUUCCUAAAAUCCAGACAGAGGAAGAGGAAGAUUUAGAGAAAGACAGAGAAGCCAGACUAGUGAGAGUGUGGUUUGUGUGACCACAUUGCGAUGGCAAGCUGAUUUAAAAGUGUGCAGAAAGCUUGCAAUAGCGGCCCAAGUUGUUUUUUUUACACACUCAUUGACCUGUCUUCAUUGUCACCCAAACUACCAACUUUCCUCCAAUUUCCUAAUUCUGUUCACCCAGAUGAACCACUCCUCCUUCCCACCAUCUUCAUCAAUCUCUCAUCACUACAGCCCUGUGGAGGCGCUUGGGAACAUCUGCAGAGCAGCCCAGCCCGAUGACACAUCACACAGAUAAUGACAGGCCUCAGGGCACAGCUGCAGAGUUUAUCCUCCACCACUCACUCUGCCGCUCACAGCGACAGCAGCGUCCCGUUCUGUAUGCUGAGCUACAAUCCUCUAACAGUACUGAGGCGGCUGGGUCUUUUCUGAAAGUAAUUCUGUGAUUGCUGCUCCAGAAACUGUCAAAAUAUCACAAAGUAACACUGCAGCAUGCAUUGCGUGACAGCUGUAAAGACAAACAAUCCUGACAAAAACCAAAUGUGCUGAUAGGUGCUUGUGUUACAAUCAAGCUUUAAACACGCCUUAGAAUCUGAAACUCACACUGAGUUUCAGAUUCUGCCACAGAUGCCGGUUGCUUUGCGAUUGAAGGCAACCAGCAAAUGUCGAAACUCAGCCAUCAAAAACGCAUUCAGUAUUGCUGCCUUUUGUUCACUAUUUGUUUCCUUAUCAGCUAAUUCCCAGACCUGAUCCAGCUCUGGUCAAAGGCUACACAUGUAAGAUAUGAGCGUGAGCUUGUGUGCACAGCUAUACGUGACAUUUUACAUAGAGUGAAUGGAAAAACCAGCAGGUGUCAGAAAGAGAAGGUUUCAAUAACCUUUUGAGGGAAAAAUUCGGAUGAACUGUCGUCCUGUUGAGACAAGAAAAGAGGUUUUGUUUGUGUGUCUGUCACUGUGCAUCACACUGGGUGGGAAACACAGUAUUUUAUCAUGUGUCAAUGUUCAAUCUUACCUGCACUUGAAACAGAAAAUUCAGAAACAAAUGCUGUACGCAGUAUUAAAAUUUGAUGAAGCAUGAUGCAUUGGUGCUAAAGCCUGCCCAGUCAUGCAGUGCUGUAGUGCUCCAACCAAGGAAGUCAAGUCAAGAAGCAUCAGUGCUGGGAUGGCAGAGUUUAAACUCAGUUUAGUGUGGACAAAACUUGUGUUUUUUUUGUUUGUUUACUGGUGAUUUUAGCUAUUUGUGCCAGUUAAGCCCUUGUUUAUAGUCAGAACCAGGAAUCUCAGGGUAACACUUGAUGCUAAAAAUUUGCUUUAAUGACAUAUGGCAUAUGACAUAUAAUCCAUAUGGCAACAUGCUUUACUCUGGUAUUAGCCAUGCAGGGCUCGGUCCACUAUCUAGAGCUUCUAUAAAACACUGCUGCUGAACUCAUCACCAGGACAAACACGUAUGAUUGCAUCGCCCCUGUGCUUUCCUCCCUUCACUGUGUCUCUGAAUUUCAAACUGAUUUAAACUAACUUCUAAGUGCUUAAAUAGCCUCGCUUCUAAGUGCAUCGCUGGUUAUUUAACCAGGUAUGCUCCCUCUCGAUCGCUGAGUUUUGCAGAUGGAGAGUCUCAGUUUGUGGCAAAGGCUGAUUGUCCUUUUGCUAUCAGAGCCUCCACACUGUGGAAUUUCUAUUAAAUAUCUUCUUAAAAUGUAUCCCUUUGUGAGAAAACUAUUGGAACUGUUUGAUAUAUUUUAUCUGUAUCGAAUCUAAUUCAUUUUACCUCCUCCGCUCAUGUCCUCAUUCUCAUUUUAUCAACAUUGUCUGGUUUCAUUUCUAAGCACUUUGUAAUGUUGUUAAGAGAAAUGUCCUUUGUUUAUACAGUGUUAAGACAUUUGCAGAACCAGCUUUGAUCAUUCUAGCUCAAAAAUGAAACUUCUUAAAACCUAAUUUAGGCUUUAUCUUGGCUUUAACUGAAAACAAAGAUCCUCUAUGCAACAUACAGGAGGUGUUACUCUCCUGCACGUCCGCUGAGCUGGUAAAUGGCUCACAGUCAGACAGUGUUACUUCCCAGCAUGUUUGCAGCAACACCGGCUUCUCACAGUUUGCAUAAACAGAGCUUUUUAUGGAGGGCUCUGGAGGACUUUACAGUGUUUACACUCUGCUUUCAUAACUCGCUCUUCAACUGUGUUUACAGUGACUUCGGGUGGGGGUGAUUCAACGGUAUAUAAAGAAAAGCCAGUGAUCACAAGAAAGGAAUGACUCCAGAGAGGUAUCGGUGGAUAAAACAUAAAGGUGUGUGGAUCCAGGUAAAGAGCCACCGUACCUGUGUGACUGGCUCCUCCUCUGUGUCCUGUGUGUUUAAGACUGUGGCAGCGUUGUCAGCACCCAGCAGUCUGCGAGCCAUCUUCUCCUCAUAGGUUAACCUCUGGAAGCAGGGAUUAAUGGGGUCAGCGUGGGUUAGUGUCAGGAAUGCUGAAGACAUUCUUCUCUGGAUUGGAGUGGGAAAGACAUCGCCAUCAAAUGGGAUUAGCAGCAGGAGUGGAGGAGGAGGAGGAGGAAGGAAGGAAGGAAGAGCCGGAGAGGCAGAAAGUGAAGAAAUCAGCGAGUGAAAGAGUUACGGCUGAUGGAUGGAUCAGCAGCUUUAGAAAAGGUGUGUCUGACAGUGUCAACUCCUCAUCUCCUUCCUGUUUCCAAGGGCAACCAUCUAGUGGGAAGUUCAUCAGGCUCGUCCAUGCAACAGCCACAGCGGCAGGUUGCCACAGAAUACGAAAAUCGGGGGAGUCCAGGAUCUCGUUUCCCUGACGGUACCAUCGGACCUGCAGAGGAGGACUUCCACGGACUCUGCACUCCAGAACCACCACCUGGCCCUCAGAUGCCUGGGCGUCCUGCAAGAGCUGCACAGAGGAGAAGGUUGAUCAGCCACAGAGGAGUUAAAAAAGAAAAAUGAUGUCAAAUGGACCUGCUAACACCAGAAGAGGAGGACAGAGUUAGGAUUUAUGGAGUGUCCUCUGCCCAUCAUCCUGUUGAACUUGUCUUGGAUUACCAUCCUCCUGCCGUGCAUGACUGCUGCCUUUGUCCACAACAGACAUGCUUCAUAUUAAAUCUGGUAUUCCACUUCUUCAACUGUCACUGAUCCACUUAUAUAACUCCCUACAAAUCCCCUCUCCCUCUUUUCUCAUGUCUUAUUUAACCCUUUGUCAGAUGAUGGUUUAGUUUAGCAGUAAUUUAUUGACCAUAUAUUUGAGAAAAAAGCAUUCCUUCUUGUCGUUGUCCAAAGACACAGUAAAAAAUAUAUGUUAGGGUAUUUGGGGAAAAAAGCCUCCUUUCUCAUGGUAUUACACGACACACUGAUUAAGCAGAAAAUGUGAUUUCAAAGAGCCCAGAAUCCUCUUGGCUGUGUCUAAGAUUAUUAAACCUCUGGAUUAAAAGUAGAGCCUGACUGAUGGUGGCUAUUUGAGCGCCAGUUCCUAAAGAGUGAAUGUACUGGUCAAUAUUCCUCAUAUGCGUAUAGUAUAUGUAGAUAUAUACAUGCAGUAUGUUAGAGUUGCAUUGAAAAGAGAAAGUAAUGGAGCCAUUUUUUAACUUUCAAGCAAUGCAUUUUAACAAACUAUGACACCACUUUACUCCGCACCAUCAUCUGCUCAGCUCAGUACUCUGCUGCAUGUGCUGCAGGCAGUGCUGAGAGUAUUACCACUCUUUUGGAUAAACUGUGGGAUAAAGCGCUUUCUAAAUUACUGAUAUCUUUUUUUCCACCAUUAUGUUCUGUAAGAAAUAUAAAUAAAACUGGCAUACAUCAGGCAACUUUUACACAGAUACCGAUUCAUCAAUCCAGUUAAAAGUUGUAUUAUCCAACACACACUAUAACUGUUUGACGCAAACAUAUGUAAUUCCUGCAAAGCUAAAUCAGCACAAUGAAAACUCACACACACACACACACACACACACACACACACACACACACACACACACACACACACACACACACACACACACACACACACACACACACACACACAGAGGUUAAAGGAACAUGAUUUCAGUGUGUUUGGCUGAGCAGAAAGAUUAAAGCAUUUUGGCAAGAGUCACAUUUGAGAAGAUUACUUUGAAAAGAAUUUCAAGUUAUUUCUACUAAGUCUAGAUCAGAAAGCACAUAAUUACAAUUAAAAAAGAACAAAUAUUGAUGAACCUUAGUUUUCUAAAUUACAAAAACUCAGUAACAGAUGAUGUCAAACCUUUCACGAGAACAAAUAACUUUGAAGAGAAACAAUUUAGAUAGUUUUAGGACCAUUUAUGGAUUAUGUAAAAGAGCUGAAUUUGACUGAGAAUCUUGCUGAAGAAUAAGAAUAAAUGUUUGUUCUAAACCAUGUAGACUUUAUAAAGGUGUAAAGAUGUAUCAGAGUCACUUAGGAUAGUGGAUAUGGAUUGUUGUCUGUUAGAUGAGAGGAGCAGUUCACUGUUAAUGUGGUUUUUUAAUGCAUUAGUGUGUUUGUUGUUUGAAGUUAAAUAGAAAUGGCAUGAGAAAAUGUUUAAAUGUUCUUGUUUUGCAUUAUAAGUUUAUCAUGUGUUUUAGGUGUAGGUAAACCCAGAAAAAUGAAAGAACACGUCAUAGUCAAAGCUAUAUGGAGCUGCCUUGUCUUUGUAUGUGUCCAUGGUGGAGAAGAGGAUUAAUGUGAACUUUGGGUCUGUAAGUCAUUAGCAGUCGAGGUCAGAACCCUCUGAAACGCUGAGGCUGGAAGGUGAGCAGGAAAAGUCUCACCUCGUCGGGUGAAACUUCACACUCUGUCUCCAGGCCAGAGGAGGGCCGAGGCCACGGCUGAGGCUCAGACAGGGCAGCUCCAUCCGUCACAACCGCUGUUAACGUACCAGUGCAGAAUACCACUGACAGACGUCCAUCUGACUGUUUUACUGCUGAUAGCUCACAGUCUACAUGUACAGAAUCUGCAGCAGGCCAGGUCUGAAAGUGGCAGAAAAGGUGUGCAGGGUCUGCUGAGCGGUGAUAUAGAUUACAUGAAAGUUUGCCUAUUUAUGGUUCCCUCACAAAAGUCUGUGGCAGCCUACAGUGAACAAGCUCAAAUAUACUCACGCCUUCGAAAACAUCUUUGCAACUGAGUUAUGAACACGGUUCGGUUAUCAGCAAGGUGAGAACUAAAUAAUACGUCAAGCUGACUACCUCACACCAGCAUGCAAAACCUCCGUACAGUUUCUGUAGUUAAAGUCACACCUUCUUAAAUGUUUUCAUGUUCCUGGAAUGUUAAGUUCCUGACAAAUAGCCCCCAUAUAGUGUAAUGUUACGGCCUCAGUGCAGCACCCACAGUCUCUCCAGGCUCUCUCAUUACUGGGGCUUAAAUAUGAAAUGACAUCAUGCUUGCAAAAAAUUUUUUUAGGAAAGGCAGGUAUAAAAAUACCAGCGCUUUUCCCUUUUCCCCUCCUUCCGCUGAGAUCAAAUGAGCCCAUGAGGGAGAAUUUAAAAUUACGGCCUUCCAGAAACAGGCCAAACAGUCAGCAUUACAGUCGGGCUGCGUCAUGAGUCAGCAGUGGGUCACCUGCUAUGACCUCAUACCGAGUCUGUUUCACAAACCCUAGGAGGAAGGGCUACUGUAAGUGUUAGCUGCAGUAAUGUAACAGCUUCUGCAACAACAGGCUGGUAUGUCAGGAGUGUAUUGUUCUUAUAUCUGCGUUUGAAAGUGUCUGAAGUCAAUGUAGCGCCAAAAAGUCUGCAGGAAAUGAGCAGGGAAACCGAAAACCAAAUCAAAUCAGAAGCCAAAUGAGAAACCAUACUGACUUUUAACAAUACUGAUGUUCUUCCUUAAUAUGUUCCAUUAACAUGACAUGAUCUUUCUUCAGUUUUAACAAGCCGUGAACCCAAAACACAAAUUAAACAGCAGCCAAACAAGAAACCAAAAUGACUUUUAUAUGUUUGUUCCAUUUACAUCAUAGUCACUGUCCCAUUUCAUGUUUUUGUGACACUUCACAUAGGUUGAAUAUUUUAGAUUAAGUGAAAAACAUAAAAGAGAGACAAUCAUAUCAAACUAUCAUGUCAUAUAAUAAAGACAAACUGAUUUUACAACCACAAGUGAUGUCUGCAACCCUUUUUGCAUUUUUGUUUAAUAGUUCAGUCUUGUUUUGGUCAGUUUGGGUGCUCAAUAAGGGCUUUGAUUUACCAUUUUGUGUAUUUGCAAUUACAAAUUACACAUUAAGAUCCCCUUUUCCUUCGUUAACAUUUUCAUAUGGUGUUUUGUUUCAUGCUGAAGGAUACAUCAUGAGUAAAAUUAACAGUCAAAACCACCUUGAAACUUUUGUGUACCGAUGGCAGUCUCAAAAACACGGAUUCAAACUUCCGAAGAAUCAUAAACCUAAAACAACAGACCUUGCCAACUUGUAGGGUGGGGAUUCCCGUACCAUCAUUGUUCUUGAGAAUCGUUUUUUUGUUUGAGCAUGUACACCUGAAAUAAUCUACAUCCUUUAAAAGCAGGUGGGGAUUGUUUUAGCAGAAAAAAAUUCUUAAUAUCUAACUUUGAGACAGAGAAAGUGUCCAGUAGGAAGCUGUGCACAGGCCAGGAAGUAUUUUUCUCCAACCAAACAGCAAAUACAACAUAUAUAUAGAGAAGAAUUACAGCAUAAACUACUGCUGUGAGUGGUUUUGAAUGUGUAAGUUACAGUAGAAAGAGGAAAGUAUAUCUCAAGGCCUCAAACAUUAUGAUUAGACAGUGAACGGCUGCAGCUUUGUGAAAGGAAUUGUUCCACAAUAUGAUCAAGUUUUAGGGGUUCUAGACCUAAAUCAUAUCUGUUAGAGGGUCGGACCUUUCAGAUUAGUUGCAAAAAAGGAUAAAUAGAGCAAUUUAUUCAGUACAAAGAUGAUAAUUUGCAAACAAAAGUAAUAUGUAGUAGAUGCUUGUGUGCCCUUUCAUGUCUGUGUAUCUGGCUGAUCGGUUUUAGCUCACAGAGGCGAAGUAUGCUUAAGUUUGAACAAGGAUCAAACUGAAUAUUUGACAACAAAUUCCAUCGUCAAUCUAUGGAAUGUCGUCUCCUCCUGAUGUUGGAGACGCCGCCUCACAUAGAUGUUUUAGCAGAAUUCCUCGGCGGCCUCUCAACGUCCAAAAAGUUUCCCCUGUGGUUUUGCGUAUUUGGUUAAAACCAAGAAACCGCGGCUGCUCUCUACUGUAACUGCCCAUCUCUCUGUCCAUUCAAAACCAAGUCAAGUUUUGAAAUUCCUUGUUUGCACAGCAUGCAGUUAGCUUAAUGACAUGGAAGAGCAUCAGACAAAAUGCCUUUGAAUGGCAUGCCACAAUUGGAGACGGGUUUUCUCUGUCGGCUUUGCAGUUUAAUGAAAUAGUGGGAUAUCAGGCACCUGUUUGGAGUUCUGCACAAUGAGACCUCACACGAUCAAUUUUGUUUAGAAAUGCUCUCUUUAACAGCACAAACUCACACACAUGCCCUGACUGAGCACAUUCCCUUUCUCCUCAUGCCAAGAGCUAAUCUUAACCCAAAGCUCGCUUGUUGAAGAAGCGAAAACAGGCCAAAUGACCUCAGACUGAAAAAAUGCUCAGGUUUCCACGAGGAUAUAACUCCCAUGCAUCCCAAUACCAGAGAUGCAUCAUUAUAAACAGAGCGUUACAUAAAGCAUUGUGUGUGAAGAGCAUGAGAGCACUCUGAAGAAUACCAGGCGCUCAGCACCGUAAGACUCUCUGGCCGAGACAAAUUGUGGUUGACCACGGAGGGCCGCGCCCAGCAUCCAGCCACCAGGAAUUCCUCUUUCACUGGCUGUGGAAAACGCUGGCAUCAUCAGCUCAGCACCAACCACUGAUACUGAAAGAACGAGGAGGCGCAUCACCUGCACAUUGGACUGCCGACUGCAUCAAAGGUGCUGCUCAUAGGAAAUGAACACUAAGUGGAAAGAAGGCAUUUAAAGCUGUUGAUUAAACCUGUAAAAACUCAUCUCAGCACAAUAAAAUAGUCCCUUCAUGCCUUAAAAUGAUUUAGAUCUAUAGAUCUAUAAACUACUCAUAUGUAUCUACACCCACUCCUCCUCCGAGCACACCAGCUGACCUACAGCUCAACACCUCAAACACUGUAAAACUACUCUACGCUACACAAAGACAAGUUCUGAAGAAGAAUAAUGACAUUAAAAGUCCCUUCUUGCAAUCUGACAGAAUGAAUUCCUUUAGUUUUGGACAUACGAAGAUCCAGAAGUCUGAAUUUAUGCUCAGCCCUGGCGUUGACUGCUAGUUUUGCUCAUAAUGUGUCUCCUGUUAAUCAAAUAAAACCAUUACUUUUUACUGGAGAUGAAGAACAAAAUAUCCAAAUGUGAAACCAAAAUCAUGAAUGACAAACGUAACAAACAAAAAACAACUCAAUGCGAAUCAAAAGAUGCAAAUAAUAUAAAACAGGGUUGCAAGCAGUUUGCGAAAUUAGUUGGUUUAAUAGUGUGACAGUAAUGACUGUUUUCCUUUUUGAUAUUCUGCUUGUGUGGAUGUUUUUUAGUUAAAUUAUUCAAUCCUGUGGGGAGUAUUAUAUCAUGUAAAUGGAAUAUGUUUAGGAAGAGCAAGGACAUCAGUAAUAUUAAAAGUGAGUUUGGUUUCUUGGAUUUGGAUUUGGGUUUUGGUAUCAGGGCUAGUUUUCUGUUUAUUCCCUGCAGACUCUUUGGCGCUAUAUUGACUUGAGACACUUUUUACAUACAAAUACAGGAAAGAUGCAGUUGUGGCACACCGGCCUGUUGUUGCAGAAGUAUGUAUCAUUCUGUAGCUAAGUGUUGCAGUAGCGCUUCUUAAUGGUUAAUGAUAAUGUGUCUCCCCACAUAAAAAAAAGCACCAUUUUUUUAAUCAAUUCUUUAAUGCGUAAGUGUUUGCUUGCACACUUAUUACUACUAACUGCGUACAAACUCUCAAAGAAAGGCUGUAAGAAAGGUCCUCCAAUACAAAAUCAAGUGAGGAGUUCUUAUGAGCUUAAUGUUCUGUACAUUAAUCACAUACAACUAGAGCUGCAGCAGAGAAAACUUUGGCUUUGGAAUUCUGACUUUUUGACUUUCACUGAUAGAAGAUGCUUCCAGAAGGAGCACAAUUCUGCUUUGGAUAGUAAACAAUUUGCUGCCAUCUAGUGUCCACAAUCAGUAGGCAACACUGGAAAGUCCCAAUGUGCACAGACAAUACUGAGUACUUAUCUGUCAAAGUGUAAAAAAGACAAUCAAUCAACAAAAGCUGCUGCCAAAAUCUGCACUCAGCUCCAGAUCUUUCAGUCUCAUUAUAUAACAGCAACUUAAUUCACUUUCUAAUGCAUCGAUAUCACAACCUUUGUAGGAGGAAAAGUCAAAACACUUUUCUCACUUCCCAUUCCUCAGCUUUCUGUUCAUUUUCUGUGUUAUAUAACGUCAGUACUGUCACAGUGUCUGGCCUCUCCUGUUUCCCUGCAGUCCAACACGCCACACGCUACCUUCAUAUUCCCCAAGAAGGUGUGGGGAGAUGUGGAGCCUGGUGACUGAAAACGCCUUGUCAUUGCAUUGCCUGCAUUCCCGUGCCUGGCUCCUAUUGGCCUGAAGACUAUUUAUACAGCCGCAGCAGAGGCCCCUCAUAGCCUACUGGGGAGAUACACUUCCUGGGCUGCUGGCUUUAUGUCUCCUGACUGCACAAACACCUAAAUAUGUGGAAACUCCCUGAAACAAAACCUUGCUUUGGAGGGUCUAUCAUUGCAAACAAAACUGGUUAAACCCACAUUAUUUAAAUACAAAAUAUGGUUGCAGUGUGUCAGAAGAGACAAAACAUGCAUAAAGGGCAAUUUCAAGAGGAAACGCAAGAGAUAUAAUCUCCUCGGUAUUCAGAACAAGUGCAUUUGUCGCCCCCAACAAAUAUAUGAAGGAAGCAUAUUCCUUUUGGACACAAUAGAGAUGCAUGCAGAGAAGAUACAAAUUGCUGCAGAAAAAUUCACCAGAACGUAGAAAAAGAAGUGCUAAAAAUUUCCAACACAGUCUGUGUCUUCCCGCAAGCCUAUGUUCUUGUUAUUAAGACAAGAAAUUUAGUGAAAUGUGUUCAAAAUGAUGCACAAAUUUUCCAGUUUCAUAUAAAACUGCAACCUCUAAUCGUAAAUUGACUUCUAACAAUUAAAUGAAGUGCUGCAAUAAGUAAAUAAAAUAUAUCCUGGAUGUAAAAAAAAGCCUCCAGAUGUAAUUUUAGGAUUUAUUAGUUAAAAUAGGAAUCAGUGUUGUAAAUUAGACUAUUAUGGAGUGUGUCGUCCUGGAUCACAGAAAUUCAUCCGGAAAAGACCAAUUAAAUUGAAACGUUAAUUAGUUGAGGUAUGUCCCUGUAGUAAACAGCGAGCAUGUUGACUAGGCUGUGAGGUUGACAUAUCUAGAAACAAGAGAGGAGUGUAUUUUUAGUUUGCUGAUGAACUGGUGUAAAUAACCAGGGGCAGGCAGUGCAGGCCUACAGGAAUAACAGUUGAUCCAGGAAUAAAUGAGACGGCGUCCCUGGCACAGGUAACUCUGGAUAAAUGUGCUUACACAGAGCAGACGUCCCCCUCAGCUCAGAACCAGGGGCUCUGCUUGUCAACACAUUUGUAAUUCUCGCCUCCAGGCCUCCUCCCUCUUCUCUCACCUUAUCUGAAAAGUCCAACUGAGCGAGGCCGGAUCCUGACUGUUGGUCUGGUCAACAUCACUCACACUGAGGUACAGAGGUCUGCUCAUAUAGUGGAGGUCAGAGAUUUCUGGAUUCAGAUUUAUUCUACGUCUUGAGAUGAAAAUCACUUUUCUUAGAGGGACUUUUUAUCUUUGGGUUGCUGACAGAACAAGAUGUUUGAGGAUGACAUCUUGGGCUCUGAGAAACACCGAUCACCUUCUAAUAUGCAAAACAACCAAUCAAGUAAUUGAGAAAAAUAAUUGCCAAUGAAAAUAUUAGUUAGUUGUAGCCCCUUUGCAGAGACAGAUAUCUCAAAACUGGAGAAAUAAAACUAAAACCAUCUGCUAAGGAUUUAGAUAUUUUUUCUUAAUUGAGGUGAAGCAAUUCUAAUUUCACUUGGUUUAUAAAGGUCAGAACAAAUGUGAAUGAUAAGCAAAAUAAUAAUAAGAAUAUUGCGAUUAUUUUAACAGGUGUUGUGAGUCCAACAUUAGUCACAAUUUUAUAGAAUUGCACAUUAAUUUCAAUUCUUUUCCACUGAAAAAAAUAUCAAAAUGUGAUGUGAAUUGUGCAGCAUGUUCAGUUAUGUCUGGAGAAUAUAAUUUCUAGGCUGUGAACUCUCUGUAGCACUGCAAUGUUUCAAUUAUAAUGAUAAGCUCCUGCUUCUCUGUGAGUAUUGCACUGCGCCAUACUGCAGUAUUGAUAAUAUUUUGAUUAUUUGUACAGCCCCAGUCAGAGCCAGCUUUCUUAUACAGCCUUCUUCAUUACUGAAUGUUUUUCUUUACCAGGAUGGAUGUCAGAACUCCUUAGCAUACUGCACCAUAUCACCCCAAAAAUCAAGGCGUUUAUACAGUUGAGCAUGUUAGCUUCAGGACAAAACAUCUACUUCACAAUACAGCAGUCACCUUCAGCAAACCAGCAAAGCUAACAAAUCAAUUAAAGCUAUGAAAACCAUCAUUCAACAGGGUUUGUUGAGAUUUCCACGUUUUACUGCACUUUGCUUUUUUUUAAAAACCAUCUUGGUGAAAUUAAACUGUGUUCACCAUAAACUUGCAAAGAGGCAACCCUUGUGAGAAAAUUUUAAAUCAUUAUUUAGUAAAUGGGAAAAGCGCAGGCAGAUUUGUGCUAGUAAAUAAAAACUGAUGCUUGAUAACCACAUGCAACAUAAAUAAUCAGUAAUGAAUCAGUUUAUGGGUAAACCGAUGAGCGACCUAGUAACAUAAAGUAGAUCAUUUUUAAAAAGCUAAAUGAAAGAAUCAAAUGAAAGAAAAAUUAACGGAACAAGUGAUUAUUUAAAUCGAUUAAAUACAAAACAAAACAAAAUGACCGAUGAUUGCAUUUUUUUAUUCUUUUUUGCUACCUUUUUGUGGCCAUGAUAACAAGUAGGAAUACAACUAAAUAUAUAAAAUAAAAGGAAGAAGAAUAAGAAUAUCAAACUGGAAGAUUCCCAAUAUUGAGUCAAUUUGAAAUCUCUCCACAGUAGUAAAUUUUAAAUCCAUUAUCCAUUAAACAUAGCAUCAUUAAGUGUCACUUUAUUUUUAUUAUAUGUAGCUGCAGGUAAGCAUCAAAUCCAACCCACACAGUAAAGCCAUAUUAAUGGGAUGAAAACCUACCUGAC